UCCGAACUUCGAAACGUAAUUGGGAACUUGGGAACGAACUUCGCAACCGCGUCUUGAAAAGUGAACUGAAAUCGACGAUAACUUCAUUUGUCAGUUGUUAUCGAAUUUUGAAUUUCAAAUUCACGUAAACAAUAAACUGCUGUAAAUUUAAAAUAUUGCUUAAAACUGUAAAAUAUUGUUUGAAAUGUGGAGAUAUUUAAUUUCAAACGGCACGCAAUUAAUAUAGUUGAAGUGGAGCAAAAAUAUUUUGAGAGACAAACAAACAGAGACAAACAUAUUUUUGUAUCUAGCUAGCUAACUUUGUAAAGUAAAUCAUUCAGCA